rnacentral:rRNA from 1 species
UACGUAGGGUGCGAGCGUUGCCCGGAUUUAUUGGGCGUAAAGGGCGCGUAGGCGGCUACGCACGGUCCGUUGUGAAAUCGCUCGGCUCAACUGGGCGGGUCAGCGGAUACGGUGUAGCUGGAGCAAGCUAGGGGGGCAAUGGAAUUCCCGGUGUAGUGGUGGAAUGCGUAGAUAUCGGGAGGAACACCAGUGGGCAAAGG